AUUGAACGCUGGCGGCAGGCCUAACACAUGCAAGUCGAGCGAGCGGCGGACGGGUGAGUAAUGUAUGGGGACUGCCCGAUCGAGGGGGAUAACUACUGGAAACGGUAGCUAAUACCGCAUACUAUCGGAUCACCCAUAUGUGAUUAGCUAGUAGGUGAGGUAAGGGCUCAACAAGGCAACGACCCGUAGCGGGUUUGAGAGGAAGACCAGCCAGACUGGGAGUGAGACACGGCCCAGACUCCUACGGAGGCAGCAGUGGGGAAUUUUGGACAAUGGGGGAAACCCGAAUCCAGCCAUCCCGCGUGUAUGAUGAAGGCCUUCGGGUUGUAAAAUACUUUUGGCAGAGAAGCGGUAUCUGCAGAAUAAGCACCGGCUAACUACGUGCCAGCAGCCGCGGUAAUAC
rnacentral:rRNA from 1 species